GUCAAUUUACAGCAGUGGUUGCUCCAAAAUACGUUACAGUGUCUGUCUUUACAUAGGAAUGGAAAAGCACAAAAGCAAAUUGCACCACAAAUACUAUCAUCACGUACAGUUAAAGAUUACAGCUUUCAUGCCUUUACCUAGGUUGACUGUUCCCUUUGCUUCUAUUUGCAUUUUCAUUGUCUUUAGCAUGAUUUUAAAUUGUGGUAUCUGCCUUCAGGAUGCUGAAUGACAUUUCAAGUAUAUUUUUAUUGUGUAUAAAUUGUACGUUUUCACUUAUGGAGUGCCUAACAACAGUAGCUCUUAUGAACAUGCAAGUUUUUUUUCCACGUGCUUUGGCUAAAUUAAACUUCAAAGAAAGAAACCCUAAAUACAGGCAAGUUAUGCUGGCAGAACAAAAUAUUGUAUUUAAUUAUCACUUCUGCUUGCAACUUUGUCUACAUAAGUCAUUUAAAUUUGUUGCCUAAAUAUGGGUAACCAUAAAUUUUAAAGUGGACUGCACUGCAUAUUAAUUUAGAAUAAGAUAAAUUCUGUACUAUUACAGUGAAGAAAUUGAGAAUACAGCUUUUCCAUUGGAAUUUUCAUAUACUUUGUGUCUGGUACUGGUGUUGUUUGCUGUUAUAAAAGACAGAUUAUUAUAGCUUUGGAUCUGCUGUGGCAUUUGAAAUCAACUAUACUGACACCUUAUCUGAUCUUUAAGGCAAUCCCUACAUGGACAAAAGCUCAGUGUUAUAUUUUAGUAGCUCUUCACAAACAGAGAUCAGCUCUUUCUUCCCAUUUAGAAGAUACUGUGUCUAUACCUCUAAUUAGUGCCUAUCUGUUAGAGCAGUGAAAGGGCCACCAGACGCCACAGGCAAUCAAGCGUAAGAUGUAACUUCAUCAUGGAGAAUAGUUCUCAAUUCCCUUCAACCUAGAGAAAUGAAUAACAUAAAAAUGGUGCAAAGCCAUGUUCCAACACAGUAAACAGUGUACAAGUUACAACCAGGUAUAGCCCAGUAACAGUGUUUGAAAGAAGAGGUAUUUCCUAUUAACUGAAAAACAAAGCUACUACUUGUUAAUUUAUUUCUUUUGCCCACAGUUAAUUUUAGCUUGCAUGCAAAUGUAGAAUAAGAGUAAGUAUUAGUCUGCCUUACAUGUUCUGUCUGUUACAUUCAACGUAUGCUGGAGGAGUAAAAAUGAAGUUAGGAUUUGAUUGAUGUUAUGGAUGUCUGCUGCUAAGCUACUUAUAACUGAUCCUUUUUUCUAUAAGUAGAUGGAAAUUUGUUGAGAAUUGGGGACCCGUUGCUCCAGAAGCGUAUAUAGAUGAGCAGCCAGCACUGAGAUGGAAAAGUAGAAGUCUCUGCUCACGUUGUGUAACUUUAUUUUGUGUCCCAACCAUUUUGCCACAAUCAAUUCACAAACAAAUUACCCUUUAGCGCCCCCAAGUGGAUCAUUAGAGCCUCAUUAAAGACACAGUUUAAUUUCAGAUUUAAUUCUUGAAAAGAAAAGUACCUGAACUGAAAUUAACAAGAAUGCAUUUCUGUAAAAUUAGUAUAAACCAAACCAGUACAUGUCCCUCUAAUUUCAGGGGUUAAAAGCAUGUUCUCAAUUGAUGCCUGUGUUUCUUGGGGAAAUGCUCCAUUUUGCCAUGAUUUGCAAUAAGCAGCUAUUAAACAGUUAUUUAAAUAUGUUAAUGUUUACAUAUAUAAAUUUCUCCCUGCUGCUGGAUAAUGUUGUUCAAGAGCAUAGUGACUAAAGCAGUCACGACAAUUCUCAGAAUUUUCAUUAGAGUCUAGCCAAUAUUUAUUUCCUUUCAUUUUUCUGACUUUUCUAAUCAAUCAGUAGCAUCUAAACAUAAUGAAAUAGUUGCUAAUUAUAAAAAGCUGUGACUCUGGAAAGUACUUAUUGUUAUUUUGCUGUAUGGGUUGAGGGGAAAUUUUCAGAAAUGGACAAGAAAUUGGACUGAGGCAUUGUGCGGUUUGGCUUAUCUCUCACCUGCAGUCCUGCUGCCUGAAAUCGAUUUCAAAGGUUCCACCUCCUGUUCAGGCCAAGGCAAUCAAGACUUUGUUACAGAAAGUUUUCAUAAAGGAAUCCAUAAGCAUCAAAGCCUCUAACUCUGGAAUGUAACAAGGGCUACAGAUAUAACUUUUUCCUUUUAGCCAUUGGUUAAACAGCUGCAGCCUCUGAAUUUGACAUAGAAGCCAUUCUUAUUUCUAUGCAAGGAACUCAUUAGUUCAUAUUUGGUGCUUCUUUCCAUUAUGCUUUUGGGAAAUCAUUUGUGGCUUCUGGAGGGGGUAGAUGCAGAUUUGAGGGCAAAGAUAACUUAUUUAUUAAGUAAAAUAGCAUAGUUGAAAGGGCAUGGGAGAGAAGGGGACAUCUGAUUUUUCAGAAACCUUUCAUUACCUUCUAAAAAUUAAAAUUAUUUCCUAUUUUCUGUCUAUACUUUUUGCCAUCAUCAAUUUUUAUGGCGGUGGAUCAGGAUCAUGAGGUUGUAAAAUUUUUUUCUUACGUUAUUAAUAAGACUAUCUUUUGUCAUACUGGCACCUAAUAUGCUUUUGUGAGUUCUAUUUAUAGCAUGCCUCUAAACUUUCACGUGUGAUGCUGACCAAGGUGCUUUUCUUCUAUUUCAAUGUAUAAAUCUAUUAAUUUAUUAAAGCAAACGGUCCUUUAUUUAUUUAUUUAUUUAUUUUGGAAGACAUAAAGCAGACAGUAUGUUCUGAAAUUCUCUGUGCAGCUGAUUGAAUCUAGCUGCCUUACUGGCAGAGAGAAACAAAUUUGAGAUGCAGGUUUCUGCUGCAAUUUAACGUCUGCUCUAAUUUGUGUACUAGUCUCCUUUGGACUUUUAUGUAUACAUAUAUAUAUACAUGUAUUCCUUCAAGCACAAUCAAGCAGCUAUUACUUAAAGCAAUUGAAUCAAACUUUAAAAAGCUAUAAACUUGUGUUUAUUUUUAGCUCCUGCCAGCCUCCCCGGUCUGUCUUCAAACACACAGUCUUUGAAAUUUAGAUUCUAUUUCACUUAUUUAUUUGUCAUUUAGAUCAAGAUUGUCCCAAAUUAUUUGCCUUCAUUAAUUUCUCAGGAAUGUGCUUCUUGGGAAGGAUAGUUCAAAUUGUCUUGUCCUCAGAGUGUAAGUAUUCAGGGUACGCCUUCUUCCUGAGCUGGUUUUUCCAACGCUUCUGUUUGUCUCCAAGAUUCCUUGGCUCACUAGAAAGGUCAAAUUCUGUCCUCAGAUUCAGAUACCAUUUAUUCAGUGUUGGAGCUAUGUGGAACUUCUCUGGAAAAUAUCUAAUCUGUUGGGGAAAAGUCCACUGUGUUUUGAAAUCCCCUAACCCACCUAAAGUAUAUACCUCUGCUUUAAAGUAUAAAUGCUCUUCCAUAUGACUAAUCACAUUAUUCUUGUCUCUUAUCCUGGAUUACUUAUGUAACCCUCCCCCUUUGGAAGUCACUCUGUUCAGGGAACUUUUAGCAAAGAGAUUCUUCAUGCAAGAUAUAAACAAGUUAAAAGCACAAAAUAAGUUAUUUACUGUCCAAAACAAACAGUGCAUUGCAAGACUAAUAAACUAAACAUUAAGUCACCCCCCAGAAAAUGAGUCAUUCUGUCUAAUGGUGAAGUAGUCAUCACUCAGGUAGGAAAUCUCUGGCUUCUGCUGCUCCUUGGAGCAGGCUUACCUGUGACAUUGCUGAAUUGCUUUCUUCUGAUUCCCUUUUUCCUUAGGAUUUUAUGCCUUUUGAGUUUUGUUUAUUCUCAAAUCCUUGAGGUGUCAGUUUCCCCAUCUUGACAAUCCUACUUAUGUCUUCAAUUUUACCUUUCUUAUCUGGCAUGCUUUUAGCUUGUGUACUUUCUUACAGCUCCUUCUCACACCCAAGCAAUUUUCUUGGAACAAAAAAACAACCUGAGAGUGGUUACACAGCUGUGCUAUUCUGAAAGUAGGCCUUGAAUCACAGAUAGAUGAAUUCCUGGGAGGAAGGUUACAUGUAAGUGACCUGGUUUACAUUUUUUUCUCAAGUAGUUCAUCCUGCAGAGUGAGCCUCUUCUAUUUUUGUACGGUGAUCUUUCAAAUGGGUGAUUCAGUCUUUUUUUUAGAAUUAAUGUUUAACAAAUUGUUUAAUAUAUUCAGUUACAUUCCUGAUUUUGAGCUUUUGGGGAAAUAUUCUCUCAAAACUUGCAUUCCCGGUUUCUAAGUGGACAUAAUGAUUGCUGUUAAGGAUUAGAACAGCGAUACUGAAGAGAGAAAAUAGCCACCAAUGCACUAUCUUCUAUUAGUUUAUAACUGAAUACUUCGAACUAUUUGUAAUAUUGCCAACAAGUUUCCCAAUUUAAAUAUGUACUGUGUGAAGAAGUGAUCCUUUAUUUUAAGUUGCAACUGCAGCCCACUAUGUUUUAUAGUAUAGUAACAAAAGUUCAUUAAAGUGACCGUGCUGAAAUUGAUCAGAGACUCUAUACACUACACUAUGUUGUCUAUAAAAUGACCUUAAACAGGUGACUAGAGAAGGCUGUGCUCAAAGGAAAAUCAUUACGAGCUAUCUGCACAUUGUUCUUCCAGUCAUUAAUCACUUCCAGCUGAAGGACUUCUGAAGCAGUUUGUUAAUUUUACCAAUAGUCUUCUUUCCAAUGGAAUUUUAAAAUAUAUUGGACAGCAGAGGUCUGUUUACAGAUCUCCUCAGAAUUUCACUAGGAACCAACUUCCACUGUGAAAACUGUUGGUUUUUUUUUUCCCCUACAGUUUCUUAUUUUAACUAUAUAGCUGCAAAAGACCCCUCUUAUGGCAUCAUGCCAUGACUGCUAUAUUUUUCAUACAAGAUUUGUCAAAUGACUUUAGAAACCCAGACAAGCAGUUCAUCAACUUUAUCUAUGUACUUUUGACUGUUUCAAAGAGCUCCAGUAAGAUUCUGAGAUGUGAGGUACUUUUACAAUAAUCACUUUUGACUCUUUCUGGUUGCAUUUAUCUAUGUGUCCACUGCUAGUAUGUGCUAUUAAAUUCCUGGGACAAGCUUAGAGGUCUUUAUUUCCAAAUUUACACAUUGUUACUAGCAAUUCAGAAAGUUUGUUCUUCAAUUCCUUUUCUAUUGUGUCAUUUCUCCCUUCAGUAAUCUCUCUUGCAAACUGAAGAGGUUUGCAAAAUGGCAAAACUUCAUUUAGCCACUUCUUACUUCCAAAAAUCCUUUUGCUGUAUCUUUCUAGUCCUUCUCUGCAUAGCUUUAAAUGCACAGAGUGCCAGCUAUACAUGUCUAGUUUCAAAGUCAGAGUUACCUUAUUCAUAUUAAACUUGCACCUACAGAUGAAAGUAAUAGCAACCUUUGUACUGAGCUUAACCCUCAAAGCUCUUCUUAGACAUUAGCCAACUAAAACACCUACAAUGUAAAUACAAGUUAUAGUCUCUGCUUAAAGGACUUGAAAAUGAAUCACAUACUGCAUUCAGAUUUCUUGAUUAGGUUAAUGUUUUGCUUAGCAGCCUUUGUAUCUAUUCCAGCAGAGCAGCUAGCAACUCCAUAGCUUGUCUUGGUAAUACAAUGCCAAAUGGAUGGUUUUUUGUACAGUUCUCACUUGACAACUUAAUUUCUCCUGCUACUUGGCAUGAAAGACACCCUUUUUUUAGGAGGGCUGUCCUUCAGAUUCUGUUUGACAAAUUAUUCUGCAACUCUUCUCUUGUUAUUAGUUAAUUUCCCAAGUGUACCACUCUGCAGAGGCAGGUUUUGAAGAACAGUGAAACAUUACAUCUCAAUAACAUUUUCAUAUGUUGUGAUUGUAGAUCUACAAUUUCUAUUCCUUUUCCUCUCUGGAGCCCCAUGUUACAUUUUAGAUCACUGAAAGGAAUUGAGAGAACAUGGAGCCACAGUCCCAGAGACACUGCUGACUAAUAAACAUGCCCAUAGCUCUUCCUGUAGUUGCUGUAGACUGGAAGUCAGCACUAGCAAUAUAUUCUGUGGAAUCUCAACUUACUAGGAAUCGUAUUAAAAAUAAGUUCUAUAGGUGUUCAGAAAAUUCUCUGUAUUACAUGUUUUUUAUUCAUGCCUUUCCAAAUAUUUAUGAGCACUUUGUUAAUAUAAUUAAGAAAGUAUUUGAAGUUGAUUUAUGUGAACAAAUAUUUUAAAAACAGCUCCGCAGAUGCAUGUGUGCACACAGACAUGCAUACAUUUAUUUAUAUUUAAAUUUAUAUAAUUGAAAGUAAAUAAUUAUCUAGCAAGCUAAAUCAAGGACUCCCAUACCUCAAGUGUAAAUGCCGCUUCUGCAGAGACAACCUGGUGCAAAAUCAGAAGUCUUGUAUUACAGAGAUUUGAGAUAGCAUAAGAUAUUUCAGAUUCUCUAUGCCAUCCUGAAGAGUCAAACAGGCUUGUUUUUACUGAGGGACAGAUAUUUCCAGCCUAUGUAAAUUUUAUGGGAAUCUUUAAAGUUCUUUGCCAGGCAGACUGAACUUUGAGUCUUCUUGCUCAUUACUCAAGUAAUAAUCUAUGCAUUAAGACGCCUAUCUACUACAUUUGUGGUGUUUUGUAUGUCAAAGAACUACAGUUUUGAAGUGGCUAAUGCACAGCCUUUGUUGUUAUGAGGAAAUAUGAGGUUCUCCUCUGGCUCAUGUUUUUGCAAAACUAUGCAUUAAUAAUACAAACAAAUCUUAAGCAGGUUUUUUACAACAGGAUAGUUGCUCAUGUACUUCAAAUCACAUAAUCCGAAGAUGGAUCUGACACUGAACAGCUUUCAUCAUGAUGCAUUUCUUGAUGAGCUAAGACAUGUAUGUGGAUUUACUCAUUGCUUCUACAUUAGUAGAACAGUGCCUCAAAUGACAUUACAUUAAUUCUUGUGAGCUGCUACACUAGUAAGUAACUCAGUAAAUUACUCUAUUUCCUUUUGAAAUGGGAUCAGUAAGUAAACUGCAUGUACAAUAAAAGCUAUGACGUAUAAUACAAAUAGCAUUUUUUCUCCAUAUAUGAUUGCUAUGUAGAUUUUGUUCAUCCACAGCACUCACAGGUGUCUCAAAAGGCUUUUAAUACAUUUUUGUUCCUUUUUCAAGAAGGAAAUACUUAGCAUUUGCAAUCAUGUCGUAAAUUUCUUCCCUUGGAUCUUGCAUUUGGAAACAUUCUACAGUCAGAUUCUUCCUGCAUUAGCAGCACCAUCAGUCAUUCAGUUUGUAAAUGACGGUGAAUUUUAUAUUUGGAAACAGUUUUCAUGUCGUUGUGUUUCAGUGGUGAUUUCUAUAAAUGUUAAUGGAAGCCGUUAUAUUGUGAAGAUGUCCAUAAGCCAGUACUGCAGCUUCAUAAUAAGUUUAACACUUAUGUACAAGCUCUGCAUGUAACAUUUUGCAUAAAUAGUGAUCUCAGCCUCUUAAGCUAUUUGAUGUGCAAACUUCCAUCUGUUCCUCAUGGUAAUGCAAAAUACCUUUUAAAUAUGUCAUCAUCUUUUGCCUACACUGUUAUUUGCAAAAGAUCAAGAGACAGUAUAAAGCAUGGCAAUUUCUUCAAGACAUCCACUGUUUACCUCUUUCUACUUCCAGCUUGAAUUGUAACAGUGCUCAUAGUUGGAGGAGGUGGGAGGAAAAAACACUUAUUUUAGUUAAAUACAGUGCUUUGGUUCAAAUACAGGGAAGCAAAGGAGGAGAAAGCAUUUGUGCUCUGGGCAUUUUCACAGCAUUUACUUUUUUGGUAGUAUAAUAAUCCUCUUUUAACCCAUCUAGUAUCAUUUAUACUACAGAUUAUUUAAGUAGAAAAGACUACAUAAGUACUUUGCCAUAAUUUCCCUAAUUCUAUAUUUGUGUUUCCUUGUAUUUUGACAGUAAUACGAAAUAUUUUCUGAUAGCAAACAUUGUAAAAUAAUCAUAUUUAAUCUUUAAGUAAAGUCACUGAAAAGUUGGGAUUUAUUUUUCAUAGGUUUCCCAUUUUGUCCACUUAGUUCUAAUUUAAAGGGUUUCAGUUAUAUCAAAAUAUGUUUUUUAACAAUGAGUUUUACCUCUUUUCUGAGGUAAAUCUUUGCUCUUAGCAUAGAAUUCUUAAAACCAAGGCUUUUUUCUUUUCUUCUGCCCCACGCACUCUUCAAAACAAAUUAUAAUCAGGUAGUGAUUGGCAGAAAUUUUUAGCACUAAUAAUCAAAGCUGAGCAAUUUUAGCACCUAUUGUGUUCCACCUGCAGGAUCAUUUUCUUGUCCUGUAACAUGCUAGGUAGCACAAAUGAUUGAUUUAUAAUGCAAGAUAAUUUUUUUAUUAAAGUAACCUACUCUGCCUAGUGCCAGGGAGUUUAUUGUCUCUAAAGUAUCCUUAUAAAAUCUCCCUCCAUUCAGGCAGCAAAUAAAUUGCCUUAUUUUCUGAUUUUCUCUCAGAAUCUUAGUGUUCUGUAAGAUGGUUCACAUUUAAGAUUCAGCAUGUAAUCUCCAGAAAGGAGAUUAUAGCCGAAUAAUCCCAAGCCAAGAAUUCUUGUUCCCUCUAAAUAAGCUAGACAAUAACCUCUCAUCACAGCCCACAAGCUCUCUACAAAAAGCAAACAAAAUAACAAAAAUAAGGAAACAUAAAAUCAAUAGUCACUAAAUAUUCUAAAUAUUCUCUUGUCCUAGGCAACAAUUUGUUUUGUGUUCAGUAUUUCAGGAAAGCUUGGGAUACAGAGUUAUGUUUUAUCAACUCAACCUUGUCAGAGUUGGGAAACAUGCAAGAAAAAUGAAUUACUAUUUAAAUAUAAUGUUCUUUUUUGGAUUCUGCAAUCUGAUGUUAGUUUAGAUAUUUUAGACAGAUUCUAUUUUGAAUUUUUCCCUCCAAACAUGCAGUCUUUGCAUGCACUGCAAUGCAUUCAUUAUGGUAGUAAUUGUACAGUGUAAUAAGAGGUAGUUCCUCUAGGAUAUUUCAUUUAGAUUUUGAUUCUUGUAAAUUACUUGUGCUCUUUUUGUUGGAAUAAAUUGCUUGUGUCAAAUGUGUUCAUUUGCUGCCCUCAAAAGCUACUUCUAGCCUAUGGCAUUUUUAAAUCGGUUGUAUUGAUUGAAGGUCAUUGUAAAGUGCCUAAAGUUUGUGGUAGAUAAAAGCAAAUGAACACAGUGACAGUAAUGUUAUAAAGCAAUAGUUCUGCUUUUACUUUAAAGAAAUUAGGCCAAUUAUAAAAAUCAUAAUGAAUUUGCAUGGAAAUAAAACUGCAGAAUUUAUUACCUAAUGUUUUGAAAAAGAUAGAUCUUUCUGGCUUUAUGGGGUUCAAAAGAGAAAGUCAGCCUCAAAACCUCUUACAGUGUUUAUCUAUGUUUGUUUGUCCAUGUGUCAAACAUUUGAUUUAGGUGUACUAAUGACAGAUGCCACUAGAAAAACAGAGUUUGAUAUUACUUAUACUAUUUUUCAGGCACUGAAAGCUGGAUCAUAAAUUCUCUGAGCCAAAGUUAGGUUCACCAACUACAUUAAUUGGAUGUACAUAUAUUGGCUGAAUGCUAUAUGCACCUGCUUUCUCCAUCAUGGGAAAGAAUUUUUUUGUCAUCCUCCCUUCCACGUGCAUUUCUACUUGAAGAUGGGAAGUGCUCAGUCAUAAUGUCUUUGUUUCGUAUACCUUUCCAGUAAGCUAGAAGGAAGAGCAUAUACAAUCAUGUGCACACAUAACACAGCAGCAGAAUUAUGCAGAGUUAAGUACUUUAAACAUUUGUGUUCCCACUUGCAAUAUGGUUCUACUGUAUUUUAGUGAAUGUAACCAAAUGCAAAGCAGAUUGUGCUUCCCAUCUUAGGAGUAACAUUUAGUUAGGAUUUAUAUAAGCAAAAAUAUCAAAGCCAUACCUGAGGAGGAUGGAUGGCAAACCACAAGGCUAGUUCAUAAAUUUACAUUAUUAAAGAGUAGUUAGAAAUCUGUGCUGCUGCUUUUGCUGAAGCUGAGAGCAGUUUGCAAGCAGAAAUAAUUCUUCUCACCUGCUCUUAACUGUAAAGCGUACAGUAGCAGUAUCACAUGACAUCCACAAAAAAGAAGGUCUUUUUUUUUGUUAUCUACUUUGACCUGGGAACAUUUUUUUCCUAAUCUAUGGCUCCCUGGGAAGCAGAAGCAGUAAGAUGUGACUUCAAGUGAGAGGAAAAAAAAAAAAUAGAGAUGUUCAGUAUGUCUCUAAGCAUAUGGGGUGGUUGGCUUUGGAAAUUCACUGGAACAAAAGCGUGGGAAAGAGGAAACUGAGAACUGGAGACAGUAAUAAAUAAGGGAGUUGUAUGCAAGGAUGAGAUGGUGAGAGUGGGAAACAAAUGUCAUUAAAUUGCUUAGUAAGAAAGGUUAGAAAUAUACAGGAGAAUAACAUACACAGAAUAUACAGCAUUGUUUAAAACAAACAAACAAACAAAACUAGGUCCUUACUUUAUAUCUACAAUGUAAAUAUACAUUCAUACAUUCAUAUGUUGCAAAUAUAGCAAAUCAUUUUCACAGUUACGUAUUCCAUUUUGCUUUGGUCUUCCAAUUUGUUAGCUUUUGGUUAGCUUGCUGGGUCUUUGCCUUAGGCAGUUGCCUUCAUGGAUGGCUAGAGAGCUUCUAGAGCACUCUCUGAAAUAUGAUCUGAAAUUACAGGUUCUCUCAGUAUUCUUCCUGCUAUUGUUAGCAAACACUUCCAGGAAAUCAAAACAAUAAUUCACAGGGGGAAAAAAAUGGAAGGUGACUAUGUCAUAAAAUAAUAAAAGGAGUAAAAUAUGGAUAUUGUUCCAGGUAAGAUUUGAGUCAAUGAAAACUUGACAAUUUAAGGAAGAUUCUUUGAAGAUAAUUCAUUUAAGCUAAGGUAAAAAGCAAAACAAGACAUUUUCCUGUAGAUUUUUAUUUAAUUUAAUUCAUCUUUACACCAUAACAUUUUGAAUGGUCACUGGAAAUCACAUAAGGAACAAAAGCAAACUGGCUGCUGUCUUCUCUGCACGGAGUGCAGGAGGCACUGUUAAGCUGAGAUUUUGUGUUUAUUGCUGACUAUUUUUAAUAUUUCUAUAAGCAACAGAAUUCUAGCAUUUCUGUUUUGUUGUUGUUAUUAUUGUUCUAAUGGGUAUUUCUUCUUCUGUGUAAGUAUAUAAUGAGCAACUGAGUCAAAAAAGAUGUUACUCAUAAUGGAGUACAGAUCCACUAACAGAGAAGUGAAAACAUUUACUUGGUUCUGAAACUCACUUUGUUUGACUGUAAAUGUACUCAGAAGGUCUGAAUUGUAAAUCUUCUGAUGGGAAAAUGUCAAGGUAAGUUUAAAUGAAUAAGAAUCAGAAAUAUGUGUCGUGAUACUGCAGAAAUCUGUCAUCAGAAUCACAACAGGCGUGAUUCUAAAUACUUAAAAUCUUAGAUUCUUUAUCACAUCCUACUGAUGAUUUUAAAGUGGAAAAAUUAAAUAACUGAAUAAAUAAAUAAAUAAGAAAACUCUUUCCAGUUAUCAGUCAAAGUGAGUGUAGGAUGAUGUGGUAAGGGAGAUAUCUGUGUAUACCAAAGCAUAUUAUUGAAUUGUAAAAGAGAUGAGUAUUACUGAUAAUAUCCACAGUCAGUCUUUACACGCAACUACGAGUACAACAAUAUAAAUGUAGCAUGCUUUAUUUAUUUUGGAAGCUAGCUGACACUUCUCCCUGAAGAAUGCCAUGUAGAAUCAAUUCCUCUUAUUGUCUAUGUUGUUUUCUGCUUCAGCCUUUUUGUCUCAAGGGCUGUUUUCAUGAAGAUGUUUCAGAGCUCAGUUAGCACUCGCUAUUAGCUUUCCACCUGAGUUUUUUGUCCUGUUCAGCUGACAUGCUGAAAGUAAGUUGUAAUUAUACUUAAAGAAAAUAUUUGGAGGUUUCGUAUCUUUGAUGCUUUAUUCAAUACAGUUGAAAAGUUGACUUGGGGGUGUGUACAUCAUUGUGUGUGCGUGCGUGCAAGCACGUGCUGUGUGCAAAAUUCUGGAGGUCUCUAUCUUCCCAUAAAUCUGCAAUAUUUUUGCAAUCCAGCACACUUAUUCAGUGCUUUUGUUUGGGGUUGUUGUUGUUGGUGGUGGUGGUGUUUUGGUUGUUUUUUUUUUUGUGAGGCUCUUGAGAAUGCUUUAAGUGUACAAGCUGACUAUUGCAAUAACGUUUGGUGAGAUUUAUGGAUGAUAUGUAAAGAAGUAUACAUUAGAACAUAAAAAUGGAGCAUACAUAAAGUAUACUUUUAUGCAGCAAAAAAAAAAAAUCACUUGAGAUUUGAGAGAUUUUGAAAUAAAUCAUUCAUGUUUUCUUUAACUUGUACAAAACAUACCAGGCCAUACUGUACUUUAACAGAAGAGCAGUAGAAGAGUAUCCCUACAAAGUGAUAAAAUUCGUCUUCUGUCUAUGUCAGUGGAAUUCAUAUUUACAAUUCAGACAUAGUCAUAAGAGAUACAUGUCUAGAUUCUUGUUCUAAUCAUUGAAGAGAUGCAGUCUUUUCUUUGAUAUGAAUCAUCCCAUCAUAAAGCAAAUGCUUAAAUUGCAUCAGAUGACUCAUGCCUUAAAGCUGCCUGUUUCUUUCUUCUGAGUUAAAGGGAUCCAAUCCUUAUUCAGGUACUGAGGUUGCUGUUGAGGAUAUUUAUGUUCCAUAAAAUGAACACCCUUCUAAAUCUGAACAUGACAUCGUGCAUGAGAAAAUAGAAUAGGAAUUAUUGACUAAAAAAACCUGCACACAAACAAAAGGAACACACACACAAAAAGGCAGUCGCAGUACAGAACAUGUUGCCCUAGAACCCUGUUUCUCCAUUGUGGAAACAUACUGGAAAGCUUUGGUAUGUUCUGAGAAUAUUAUUUUAGUUCACCGUUUUAUACUAACACUUUUUAUCAUUAAGAAUUACUGGAUAUUCCAGGCUGCUAAGUACGACUUUAUUCCUUAGGAAAGUCAUAUACCCGUUGGUUUUUGGUUUGUUUAGUUUUGUUCUUUCAGUCCUGCAGCUAUGUGUCACAUUUACUUCUAUGGUAAUUGUAUUACAAAACAAAACAAAUUUUGCUGUAUCUUUUAUAACAAAUGCUCUUAGGUACAUAUUGGAAGAGCAGCUUGAGUAAAAAGUAUUUCAUUUUUAGUUUCAAUUUAAUAAUGUGCCUUUUUGUGAAUAAUACUAGAAUUAUCCUCUAUAAAACAGAUUUUCAGGUCCCAUUUUUAAUACACACGUGCUCUAUCCUGAGAUUGUAUGUCAAAUUCUGUGUCUCUUAUUCAGGCAAGGUGUGUCCAAUUCAAGUAGCUCAGACCCUGGCAUCUGUUAUCCAGAAAACUUGUACAAACAUUUUUCUAGUGGUCUGUUAGAAAAUGCAUACAUAUGUGGCAUAGAAGGAAUGGCAUCUGAUUAUGCUCUGCUAAUACUGAAGAUGGAAGAGCCACACAAGCAGAGUAAUUGGGUCCCACUCAUAUUCCUGACAUUAGUUUAGAAUACCAAUAAGUUUGAAUACGGUUUGAAUAUAGGUUCUAGUAAGAUAUGCUAUCAAAACAUAUUGUAAAUUUCCAUUAAUAUUUCUGUGCAUCGUUUCAUACCAUUUUGCACAUAGCACCAGAAAGAUUGUAUCAUACGCUUCUGGGAAUUGAGAGAUAAAGGAAAGUACUUCUGUUUUGAAGAUAGCAGUAAAAGAAUUAAAUACUAUUAUAGAUACUUCUGCGGAGUCCAGAGGAGACAUGACAGAACUCUAUAUGAUGUGUGAAAGCAGAAAGGUAUCCGAAUAAUAUAUUAGACAAACAAGAAUCUAAAAACAUUAAAAAAGUAAAGGAAAAACGGUUUUGUGCAGUAAAGUAAUAGUCCUGCAGGGCAAGAAUAUGAGCCAGAAAUCAUAGGAGUCUCCCUAUCCCGAACUUCUGUGGUUCAGUAGUAAUACUAUAUUUUAAGUCUCCUGUAAAGCAGGAGAAGCAGCACGUUGCUGCUUCUAGCAUCAUAGAGUCGUUGUAAUAAGUGAAAGCUCCACUAGGUGGUCCUGGUGCUCUUCUAACAAGUAUCAAUGUUAGUGCACGGCAAUUUUACUUUUUUUAUUUUUUCCUUUUCUUUCUCCCCCCAUGUUGUUCUAUUAGCUAUUGUGAAUAUGUCAGAAAUUAAAUAUUCAGCUACAUGAAAAUGGCUAUCUUAAUAAUAUAUUUCUUGGUUAAGUAGAGAACACUCUUGGUCAAAGGUGUGACAGUUAUACAGUGAAAUUCCAUUGGUAAUUAUAGUUAGUAUUUAUCAGACAAACUGCUAGAGCUAGGAUUUACUUAAGACUUAAAGCUUUUCUUCUGUGAAUUGUACUGUAUAAUCACAGUAAACUUGUAAUUAGUUUCCUUUCAGUAAGGUAUCAUUAAUCCAGUAUAAUUUUAAAUGAGUAUCCUUAUUGCAUAUACAAUGCUGCUGUCAUUUAGCGUGGUGUGUGUCUGAAGAACCAAGAGCAACUCUACAAUCAUGGGAAUUUUCUUUUUUUUUAUGGGCCAUUGCUUAAGAUAAAGGGGUGGCUUAAACAGAUUUCUGCUCUAGAGCCCUGCUAUGGACUACAGAACUCAGUUUGCUUCAGCUGUGCUUGCAUUUUCCUAAUAAAAUAGCAAAUGUAUUUCAUGAAAGUGUUGAUGGGUGAUAUGUACAGAUUAUUAUGGAUAAUAUUACAGAAAAUACCACAGAAUCAAUAUGAUAAACAAGGUCUGCGCAUCAGAUGUCUGUUGGUGGAAGAUGGACUUGUAGGUAGCAAAUAUGAGCCAAUCAACAGCAGCCUUGAUGAUCCUUUAGAAAUCAUUGGCAGAACCAAUGAGAUCUACAGUACAACAUAAAUUCUCAUCAGUCAGAAAUGAGAGCUCAAAUCAUGUGCUACAGGUAAUCUCAAUUCAUUCAACACUAGCCUUCAACCUUAGAUAUUGACUGUCAACCUGAAAAUUAUAUUAUUGAACACUCAUCUUUAGAAAUUUUCCUUUUUUAAGUUUAUUUGUCUGUAAUUUUUGUUAUGCAGGCUAUAUCACAUUUAAUAAGAGUGAUAACUGUUCUUAGACAAACGCGGAGAAGCCAUAAAACUGAUAGGACAAAGUAGAUAUUUAAAAACAAUUUUAAGUUAAAAACAGUAGUUCUUUAGAAAAAGUCAAUAUUAGUACCUAACAACUACACUUUCCCUCUUCACAGUCCUCACCUAGUCCUUCUCAGAACAUUUUUUAAGAAGCCCUUGAAAAAAAUGUAGAUUCUCUUUUGCUUUAUUCUGUUUUCCCGCUGAAUGUGCUUUACCCUGAUAUUACUUAUUUUGUCUCAGUUGUGCUAAAACUCAUCUUGACUACUGUCUUGCUUAUAACAGUAUUUUAUAUGAAAUUCUAACUACUUGGAUCUCAACAGGGAGUUUUAAUUAAUGCCAAAAAUAUUCCGUUUUUGUCUUUCUUACAAUACUGUCACAUAAUCAGCAGAUGAAAGGUUUAAAUUUUAAUGUACACUCCAGUAUAGCCCUUUGAUUUGUGUUGUAAAUACCAUUCAGGCAGUCUGCUCUUACUGUUUUGCUGUAUUACUAUACAUGCCUUAAAAGAAAAAAGACUUUAAAAGUUGAUACAAAGAUUUGCCAAGAAUAAUCUAGCUAUUUGACUGUGAUACAUCUUUCAUCAUAAUCCUAUUUCUUUCCAGCAUUUUUUCUCUUUCUCAGGAGUCUCAUAUUGUGAUAUUCAGGUUUUUGGAUUGCUUUCUAAAUUUGACAUCAACUGUAAAUUAAAGCCGGCUACUUUUUCCAUUGCUCAUCUGUAGACAUUGCUACAUUAAUAUUGUAAACUCCUCAGAGCAAAGAUUGCUUUAUUCUCUGAGUGGCACUUGGUACAGUGGCUUUCUGAAUCAUAAUUGCUGUUCUUAUCCAUGCCAACAGAAGAAAAAAUGAGUAAUUUCUAUGUUUUUUUUUUGUUGGUGUUUUCAAUUUUAUUUCCAUUUGAUCAGGUAAAAAGCAGGUGAUCUGGAAUCCCUCUGCUUUCCUUCACCAACAGAUUUGCUACGACUGCCUGCCUUGCAGUGCACAGAUCCCACACACCUGCUUGCCCACUGAAAGUUAGUUCAUUCUUCACAACAGAAUUGUUGACAGCCACUGAAUCAAUCCUUUCAUAUUUCUUAGCUUGUGAAUAACUUUCAUCAGCAAUUCUUUGCAAGUCUUAUGGUAUUACAGAAAUUGCACUGGGGGUGUCUCACCCCUGGUUUACUGCAGAACUCCAACACUCCACCGUACCUUGUGGGAGCAUUAGUGGGGUGAAGAGGACGCCCUGUAGUUCGGCUGCAGAACCUUUCCUUGCUACUGACAAUGCCUGAGCCAGAAAUGAGUCAACUUUUCUUUAAUAUACCAACAGAACUUUCAAGCUAUCUGAUUUAAAUCUGAACUAAGCCAAUGUGUAACGCAUGCCGCAGAUCCAUGGCACGUAUACUGGAAUCACUUUGCAGAAGGCUGAAAGCAGUGCUUUAUCACUGGCAGUGUGGUGGAAAGAGUAGGUUUUUGAGAACAGAUAUACCAAGAGUCCAGAAGUGUCUGGGCUCUACAUAGGUCAGGCCUCCCUGGAGCUGUGGUGCUAAGGGCUCCCAUGGAUCUGUCAGGACAUGACCCAACAACCAGGGCCCAUGUAUACACAGAGCAUGGAGGUGAACACCUCAUCACAAGCUUAUGAAACUUAGUGAACAUAGUAACUCCUUUUCUGCUGCAGUUGUUAAGAACCUCCAGAACAUAAUAACCUGGUUGCUUAUAUAAUUGACAUUAUAUCAGUAAUUUUCCAUAUGCCAUUUUGUAUUUGUGAUUCCAGUCUAUUUAGAUAUUUCUGCCAGUUCAUAGAGUUGAAUGCAGUGACCUAUUUGCUUACGUCUCUUUUGACAAAAUUUGAGUAUAGUAGGCAUAAAUCUACUUUACUGGGGAUUGCUGAUGCACAGAUGUAGCAGGUAAUCAUUUUUUAUUGUGAAUCUCUUUAGAACAUAGUUAAUGUUACAGGUAUAUUUUGAACAUUUCUACUUGGUUCCUUUUGUCGGAUAUGUGACUUUUACCUUUGCAUGAGAGAAUCCAAGUCUUUCUUGCCAUAGAUAGCUUUUAGCUAUCUAUACACCUUAUUUAUAGCAAAGACAUUCCGUAGAUAUAUUCAAAUGGGAAAUGAGGAAAAUUGUGUGGAACAACUUCUGCACUGCAUAAACAUCAUUUUAACUUAACACAGACUCUUGAUAAACAAUAUUACAGUAUUUAAAGACAUACUGCAGCACUGUUGAUUUACUGUGUGAUGAUGCUAUUGACCUGUUCAAAGGCUACCAUAAAAUGGGUAAUAAAAGUUGCACAAAGUAUGUAUCCAAAUUCUGUGUAACUGAGCUCUGUCCCAGCAAAAAAAUUACCUUGUUACCUCUCAGUUGUGAUCUCUAUUGUAGUGGUCAGGGAUGAGAGCAAUAUGUGCAUCACAGCAGUGAUAGAGUGUUGAGUAAUAUGCCAGAAAACUGAUGUUUUUCAGGUGGCGAACUUAAAUAGCAUAAGGUAAGUACUAAUCAAGUUGCAUGAGGGACGCUCUGAAAGUAAUGUUUCCCAUCUUAUUAUGUUAGCCUGUGACAUCAGAGGCAGAUGGUGGCAGUAAGGCUGUAGAGGUUGAACCUUCCUGACAGUAUUCCAUUAUGUUUUGUUGCUGUGCGAGAGAUGGCAGCAGAGGGGCAGUCUGACAAAACAGUGUCUGACAUAGAAGUGUGUAUGAAGCAAAAGUGUGUCGCUGAAUUCCUUUGUGUGGAAAAAUUUGCACCCACUGACAUUCACUGAUACUUGCUAAACACUUAUGGAGACCAAACAGUGCAUGUGAGCACAGUGAGGCCACGGGUGAUGUGUUUCAGCAGUGAUGACAGCGACUUGAAGGACAAGCCAUAUUUUGGACAGCCAUGCACAUCUUUAACGCCACAAAAUGAAGACCAUCUUAAUUAGUUUACUUAUAUGAAUCAGUAGAUUAUGACCAGGGAAGUGUGCCAGAGCUGAAAAUCUUCAGUAUGUUAGAAACAACGGUGGCAAUGUUGGAAUAUCACACAGUUUGCACCAGGUGAGUCCCACAAAGGCUCACAGAGUAACUGAAAGAACACCAUACACAAGUUUCUCAGGACAUAUUGAAUCAAUAUGAGGCUGAAGGUGAAUUUCCUGGAUUGCACUAUUAUCAGUGUUGAGUCGUGGUGUCACUAUUACAAGCUGGAGUCAAAACAGCAGACCAUGGAAUGGCAACAUGUGAAUUCUCCAUUGAAGAAAAGGUUCAACACACAGCCUCCAGCAAGUAAAGUUAUGUGAGCUGUCUUUUGUGUUAGAACAGGAGAGAUCCUCCUGGAUUUUCUGGGACUUGGACAAACCAUCAGCAAUGCCUACCAAACUGAAGUCAGGCUUGAGAAGUCUUUUUGAAACGUGAAAAAGCCAGACCCCACACCAGUUUGAAGACCAUGGAGCACACUGCUAAUCUAGGCUGAACUGCCCAGCCACACCCAUUUCUUAAUCCUUAUUUGGUGCCUUCUGAAUUCCAUCUGUUCUGACUGAUGAAAGAUGGACUGUGUGAGUGACAUUUUCCUGGCAAUGACACCAUCAUAGCAGCUGUGAAACAGUGGGUCACAUCCCCUGGUGCAAAUUUUUGCAAUUUCAGCAUACAGGCUCUUCUUCAUAACUGGCAAAAAGCAUAGAAUCAUAGAAUCAUUAAGGCUGGAAAAAACUAAGAUCAUCUAGUCCAACCAUCAACCCCACCAUGUCUACAAACCAUGUUCUUCAGUGCCACGUCCACACAGUUCUUGAACACCUCUAGGGAAGGUCACUCCACCACCACCCUGGGCAACCUGUUCCAAUACAUCACCACUCUUUCAGAUGAUAAAUUCUUCCUGAUAUCAAACCUGGACCUCCCCAGUGCAACUUAAAGCCAUUACCUCUUGUUCUUAUGCUAGUUAGAUUGGAAAAGAGGGUAACUCCCAAAUGCAUAGCUAACAGUGGUGACUAUGUUGAAAAAUAGUGUUUUGUAGCAGAGAAUUUGCUCUAUCAAAUAGUGUUCUUAAAAUAAAUAGGAGGCAUUACUUUCAGAGAAACCUGCAUCUAUUAUUUUAAGGGAGAUUUAGAGAAUGCUAGAAAUAAAGAGACUGAGUUAGAUUGCUAACUAACCAUCAUUAGGGACAGUCCUUUGAAAUGAAGUGAUAUGAUUUGACUCUCACCUGUUCAUCCAGAAUUUCAUCCUAGAAAAGCAGAUGUUGAAACAAGAACGGUCCCUGGCCCUGUGAACCGUGCCUCUGAGGGUGCUAAUUGCCCAUCUCAAGGAGAAGGCUGUUAGUUAAUCAGUGUGGAAUAUCAGCAGUGUGGUGCCUGGGCUUAUUCCCUGGCUGUUUCACUGAGCAUGUUAGCCAUAAACAGAGGUAUCCUUUCUGGAGUGAGCAGCUUUUCUCCACAGGCUCCAAGCACUCUAAUGGGCAUUACUGUUUGAUCCAAAAGCUGGUUGUGAUGUAGUUUCACUCAGCGGGUUGGUUGUCUGCUCCUCUCUCUUUGCUUCAUAAUGCAAGUUGAUGGGAGCACUGGCGAAACUUGAUGUCUGGUUUGGCAUGCAAAAGAAGAGCUUAUGCCUCAUUCUCUUUCAAGUGGUCUUACUGCAUUUUUGUUAGGAAAACUUCUGAGCAAACUAGCCAAGUAAUCUGGUUUUGUACGUACAAAAUAAAAUACUCUGACCCACAGUUUCAAAUCACAUUUGACAGAAAUAAAUAAAUAAAUGAGUAUUUGAAUUUAUAUACAACAACCUAUCAAUUUUAGAUUUCUGAUCUUUUUCUCUUGGGUGCAAUGGGUGAAUUAGAUUUGAAGCAGUCUGUAUUUGUUUUUAUGAGAUCUAUAAUUCUUUCUUUCCCUGCUGCACAAAAAGGACUCUUUUCCCAGAAGUGCUUGGAGAGAAACACCAAAAAAUAUGAAGCUGUAGCCUCAGCCUUUAGUUUUUGUUCAUAUUCUGCCUCAGUUCACUCUCCUGUGCUGCAGCAGUAGGUAAGUAAAGAUAUGACUCUUUUCCCAUCUGGAUAGCAACAGGAGAUUACUGAGCCAGGAGGAGGCGGGUGCUUACUACAUGUGGUGUAGUGCACUCUUUACUUAGUUGGGUUGUGCCACCUGUAAUAUCAGUAUUCAUAGUAUUCAUUGUUUCCCUUGGACUACAAGACUUCUGUACAUGUCAGUAGUGAGUAUGUAGGGUUGUUUUAUGAAAAUCCUCAAUCAGAAAAUGCACUGCGUUUAGCAUCUCAGAGAAACAUUAAGAAACACUCAAAGUUUCUAAUUCUGACUAUUCCAAAGCAUUCAGCAGCUAUCACUUGGAUGUUAGUCACAACGAAGAUGAAUGAAACCAAAUGCUAAGUCCUGUCUGUCUCAGUUUGGAGAAAUGAAUCUCUGCAGUAGGGUGAUACAUCUACCUCAUCCCAAGUGUGUUUUUUUCUUAAGAGAUUGUGUAGUUUCUUGCAUUUGCAGAGUCUACCAUGUUAUUGAACACCAUCAAAGAAUGCUCCGAAGUAUUAUGAAGGGAGGGCAGGUAUUACAGAAAGCAUUCAAAAAGUGAUCAAGAAAAAGAGAACACCUGUUCUGGAAGGGAAAGCAUCUCUCUGGACCUGCAUGAAAGCUCACUGUAAGAAGUGAGGAAACAGAGGGCUAUCAAAAGUAAUGAAGCCACCAGAAAAGAUGUUGCAGUUCGAAGUGAGAAGAUACUGCAUAUGGUCUCACAACAACAGAAGGAAGCCAAAGGACAGGUCAGCUGUACAACAACUCUGAACUUAUGGAAGAAUAGAAGAUCAAAGGAUGAUGUCUUCCCCCCUUUGUGCAAGGUGUCAUGAAGGUAGCAAAAUUCCAAGAGUACAAGUAAGGGGAAGAUAAUAAGCAAGAGCAGGAUAUGAACCCCUUUAACUUUCCAUGGAGAUGCUAUGCUCUGCAUUUUAAAAAACAACAACUGAAAAACAGCAGCAAAAAGGAAAAGUGUAGAAGAAAGCUAGUUAAAAAGAUAAAAUAAUCUCCUGGACCAAUUGUCUGAAGAAUGAAGACACUUUGCUGCAUUCAUAGCCAAGCUAUCGCUAUGCUUGUAGUGUCAGUGUCCCCUGUCAGGUGUGCUAUACAUCAAAACUGAAUUAGCAGGAAAGAAGUACACUUCUGUCUCCUAGAAAAGUAGAAUAAAAGCAAAAGCUGGAAAAAAAAAUAUUUAAGUGCCUGUUGUCCAGUAGGAUAUGCAAAAAUGACAUGCAUAACAACCCCUUCUGCAACAUGCAAAACUCCAAGAGUACUCCUGGUUCUGCUCUUUGAGACAAAAGCUCUGAAAACCUCCUUGUGUACCUUUGGAAGGCAGUCUUUCAAGUCCCCAUACCACCUUCCCUGUUGGCUUUUCUUAUUAAAACAAAAAUAUAAGCAACAAACUUCUUUCUUCCCUGCUGUCGUUCAAACAGAAGUGUCUCUAUUCUAAGACACCUUAAUAUACCUAGUUGCCUUAAUAUACUGAGUUAUUUUAUAUAUCCUAAAGAAUGGUACCCAUUUUUUGUCUCCUCACUCUGCAGUGUUAUCUGACUUCCUGUUUGUCAUGUAUCCAGUCUACUGCAGUGGCCUUUGUUUUAGGAAUAGAAGUCUUUCAGGAUAUCCUAUACUUCCAGUUCUUAUUAACCUCAUUUAGCUUGGAACAAGCCUGUGCUUGCUUAGUUAUGACAUAAGAACUGUAACAGAACAUGAAAAGGGAAGCACAGCUUUGCUGUCAGUGAGAAAAACCUACAAUUUUUCUUCUGAAACUAUUCCCGUAUUUAUUUCUAUGGGCUGCUUUCUUGCCUUUCACAUUAUCGUUCCAUCUUCCUUUGGAGAAGUAGAUGUGAAUGAGUGAAAGUCAUCUACUGGCAAAUGUUCAUGUUGUGGUUUAUGUGCAAUGGUGAAUCAUGAGACUGAGUUAUAGGGCAGCAAUGAAUUACAGGAGUCCUGAGAGUUUUCAAAUUUUGCAAAAACCAUAAUCAAUUUUAACACCAAAAUUUGAUCAGUUAAUAAGUAUCAUCCUUGGAGUGCAUAGCACUGGACUCUCCGUUUCUCUCACUUGCUCUCUCCACUCCAAAAGUGUUCCAUCUAUAUGAGAUACCUGAAACCAUGUCUAUUCUUCUUCCUGCAUUGCUGUCUUUCAGGCCAUCCUUAGAGUCAUCUGCUUGAAUUAUGGACGUGAAUUUUAAAAUUGCAAGCACUGAAGUAAAAAUUACUCAAAUAAAUUGAUUUUAAUACAUACUAUUCCAGUUUUACCACCUUGCAACUGUAUAUAAGAAGCCUCUGUAGACCUGAGAGAGAGCUGACUUCUCACAUUUUCUUGGGUAGAGGCAGAAAACGUUAAAAAGCCUGAGAGCAUGCUGUCAUUCCCAAAGUUCAAACUGACAUCCUGGCUUCCUCUGGAGCAUACCUUUAGUAGAUUUGUUUUGGAGGCAAUUCACAGCUCUGUCUCAAAGCCACAUUAGCCAUUCAUUUUUUAUAAGGUAUGGAAACACUAUCAAGUUUCCAAAUUAACUGUUUCUUUUCUCACUCAGGUUUCUUUCUGUCUACAGCAAGCAAUCAGUUGUAGUAGGGGUUAAGUGAUCCAUGCCCAGAUGGCUUCACUGACUGCAGGUAUAGAGCCUGAAAGAUGGAGUUACAUACAUCUACUUGGGCUUGGGUUUCAGUUUGGAUACAGCUAGCAUAAUUUACCUUAAUGCCAAGUUAACAGUUUUAAAGGUUGCAAGUAAUUUUUCUGUACAUUGUGAAAUUGUACAAAUUGUUUAUUUUGCUGCUUCAUGAUCUGUUUGCAUAGAGAUCCAUGACUCUAAUGUUUAUCCAUAUACAUAGUGCAUAUUGAUUAUGUGCUGAUAAUAAUUCACUCUGUCAUUUAUUUAUUUAUUUCCAAAUGAAAGUAAUGGAAAGCUAAAAGCAAAACAUUCCUCCAAUAAACUUGUUGGCACAAAGCUUGUUUUCUUCUGCUUGUACUGCAUGUCACAGAGCAUUAUUACAGUGGUUGUAACAAAGCUGAGCUCUUUCAAAAAUUAUAAUAAAAAUGGUAAACAAUGUAAAAACAAA